rnacentral:rRNA from 1 species
CCAGCAGCCGCGGUAAUUCCAGCUCCAAUAGCGUAUACUAAAGUUGUUGCGAUUAAAAAGCUCGUAGUUGGAUCUCAGGCAUGGGCGCACGGUCCGCCUCGCGGCGGUCACUGUGUGAAUUGUUUUCCCAUCCUACGCUUCCCGGUUGUUCAGCCCAUGGUGCUCUUCAUUGAGCGUUUUGGGUGGCCGGAACGUUUACUUUGAAGAAAUUAGAGUGUUCAAAGCAGGCACAUCGCCUGAAUAAUGGUGCAUGGAAUGAUGGAAUAGGACCUCGGUUCUAUUUUGCUGGUUUUCGGAACACGAGGUAAUGAUUAAGAGGGACAGACGGGGGCAUCCGUAUUGCGGUGUUAGAGGUGAAAUUGGUGGAUCAU